CCUACGGGUGGCCGCAGUGGGGGAUAUUGGACAAUGGGGGGAACCCUGAUCCAGCGACGCCGCGUUAGUGAAGCAGUAUUUCGGUAUGUAAAGCUCUGUCCGCAGAGAAGAAAGAACUGACGGUACCUGACCAAGAAGCCUCGGCUAACUACGUGCCAGCAGCCGCGGUAAUACGUAGGGGGCACGCGUUAUCCGGAAUUACUGGGUGUAAAGGGAGCGUAGACGGUUAAGUAAUGCUGGAGUGAACGGCCGGGGCCCAACCCCGGGACUGCUCUGGAAACUAUUGAACUUGAGUGCAGGAGCGGUAAGCGGAAUUCCGAGUGUAGCGGUGAAAUGCGUAGAUAUUAGGAGGAACACCAGUGGCGAAGGCGGCUUACUGGACUGUAACUGACGUUGAGGCUCGAAAGCGUGGGGAGCAAACAGGAUUAGAUACCCCAGUAGUC
rnacentral:rRNA from 1 species